GCGGAGGCGGAGCAGAGGAGGUCUGAAGCUGAGCAGCAACAGGAUGAAGGGGGCGAACAGAGGAGAGAACGGCAGACAGACAAGGCAGUAGAGAGAGUGCGAGCGUGCCAUUAAGAAAAUGCUUGGAGAACCCAAGGCUCCCUGGCCAUGCUGAAGUUCUUCACCUCCCGCAGCUAUCACAGCACAGGUGCCGUGAGAGCCCAGCCCAGAGCCCGACACCCGGCUGUGGAGGCCCAGCGCCGGUGAGCUCUCAACCCCGCCAGGCCUGGGGCAGAAGGCAGAGGAGGAGGAGCACUCUGAGACGCGGUAUGCAGGGAGAGGAGGACUCUUAUCCACACCUCACGGACAGGCACACCGCCUCGCGGCUGUCUAGGGGCAGAGCCAGCAUUGUGGCUGAAAGCCUGGCCCCCGCCGCCUGGCCCUCUCCUGUGUCCUGCUCCUCGUCCCUCUGGGACCCGAGACAGGUACACACUCCGCCACCCCUCGCCCCACGGAGGCCUGCAG